UACGGGGGGAGCAAGCGUUGUUCGGAUUUACUGGGCGUAAAGGGCGCGUAGGCGGCCAGCGCAAGUCAGUUGUGAAAUCUCCGAGCUUAACUCGGAAAGGUCAACUGAUACUGCGCGGCUAGAGUGCAGAAGGGGCAACUGGAAUUCUCGGUGUAGCGGUGAAAUGCGUAGAUAUCGAGAGGAACACCAGUGGCGAAGGCGGCUACCUGGACCGGUUCUGACGCUGAGGCGCGAAAGCGUGGGUAGCAAACAGG
rnacentral:rRNA from 1 species